GACGUACGCUGGCGGCGUGCUUAACACAUGCAAGUCGAACGGAAAGGCCCUGCUUUUGUGGGGUGCUCGAGUGGCGAACGGGUGAGUAACACGUGAGUAACCUGCCCUUGACUUUGGGAUAACUUCAGGAAACUGGGGCUAAUACCGGAUAGGAGCUCCUGCUGCAUGGUGGGGGUUGGAAAGUUUCGGCGGUUGGGGAUGGACUCGCGGCUUAUCAGCUUGUUGGUGGGGUAGUGGCUUACCAAGGCUUUGACGGGUAGCCGGCCUGAGAGGGUGACCGGCCACAUUGGGACUGAGAUACGGCCCAGACUCCUACGGGAGGCAGCAGUGGGGAAUAUUGCACAAUGGGCGGAAGCCUGAUGCAGCAACGCCGCGUGCGGGAUGACGGCCUUCGGGUUGUAAACCGCUUUCGCCUGUGACGAAGCGUGAGUGACGGUAAUGGGUAAAGAAGCACCGGCUAACUACGU
rnacentral:rRNA from 1 species